CACCGCCCGUCACACCACGAAAGUUGAUUGCACCAGAAGUCGCUGUGCCAACCGCAAGGAGGCAAGCGCCCAAGGUUCGGUCGAUGAUUGGGGUG
rnacentral:rRNA from 1 species